ACACCACCCAUCCCCCAUGAGCUCAAACCCUCUCCUCCGUCAAGUUGCUCCAUCCCCACCCCGUCACCAAGAACCCCGGCGUCGUCCUGCGCACCGGGCAGAUCCCGGCGAAGACCAGGCUCAACCUGUGCCGGAAGCUCUUGUCGGCCGUGGCGGAGCACAUCUCCAUGCCAUCUCGCUUCUCCACCGCUGCCCCCGCAUCGUCCUGCCUCUCCACCAGGGCCCCCACACCACCCUGCUCCCCGCCGUCGCCACGUACUCCCUGCUGCCGCCGCCGGAGAUUUCCCACGAUCGGAACAAAUCAGCACCGGUGUGGUUUCUUUCUUCUUCAGAAGGCCAGACUUUUACAAUUCAUAAAGAGACCAUAUCCAUUUGACGUGCAAUGACACUCUGCUGUAGAGGAUGGUGCACUAAGACGAGAAGGCAGUGUGGUGCAUUAAUCCUAGUAAGUGAGGUGGUCAGGUGUGUUGCAGUUUGUCAACUACUUAUGAUUUAUCGCUCAAGUGGUCUGCUGCACAUCAAUGCAAAAUUAACUUCAAACUCUUAUGGCUUGUGGGGCAUGCACACUUAUUGACCAACAAAUACGUUGCAAAUCAUUCCUGUGAAUUCUAUAUACGUGAGGUGUACUAUAAAUACGGCACAAAUCCCGAAGAAAUGGAGGGUGCGGAUUACAUCCUCGCGUGGCACCAUGUCCACUCGUGAUUUAUCAUCAACGGACGUGAAUUUUUGGGACAUGCGGCCACGCGAUGCCGUAAUCCAGUGCGUCCGCGCGCGCAUCGUGAUUGCUACUUAAUAUAGGCACAUUCGCUAUUCCUGACAUGUUAAUCACCAGUGCUUGUGAAUA